AUCCAACUGAAGAGUCCCAAAUAGGACGAAAUUCGCGUUAUCCUGGAU
rnacentral:hammerhead_ribozyme from 1 species